CCUAACCGUGCGAAGGUAGCGUAAUCACUUGUUCUUUAAAUGAGGACUAGUAUGAACGCCCCCACGAGGGCUGCACUGUCUCCUUUUUCUAAUCAAUGAAACUAAUCUCCCCGUGAAGAAGCGGGGAUAAUUCUAUAAGACGAGAAGACCCUAUGGAGCUUUAAACAACUGAAACACUUGCUUUUCCAUUAACCUCUUCCGAGUUCUUUACUUCACUCAAGCAUUUUUAUUUCUAGUUUUAGGUUGGGGUGACCACGGAGCAAAACUAAACCUCCACGAAGAAAUGAAUACUUUUUAAGCCACAAACUACUUUUUUAAGCAUCAACAAAUUGACCUUCAUUGACCCAAUAUAUUGAUCAACGAACCAAGUUACCCUAGGGAUAACAGCGCAAUCUACUUCAAGA
rnacentral:rRNA from 1 species